rnacentral:rRNA from 1 species
UACGGAGGGUGCGAGCGUUAAUCGGAAUUACUGGGCGUAAAGAGUUCGUAGGUGGUUUAAUAAGUUAUCUGUAAAAGCCCUGGGCUCAACCUGGGAAUGUCAGAUAAUACUGUUGAACUCGAGUAUGGGAGAGGGUAGUGGAAUUUCCGGUGUAGCGGUGAAAUGCGUAGAGAUCGGAAGGAACACCAGUGGCGAAGGCGGCUACCUGGCCUAAUACUGACACUGAGGAACGAAAGCGUGGGGAGCAAACAGG